ACCGGCGCACGGGUGAGUAACACGUGGAUGAUCUGCCUCUAUGAUGGGGAUAACAGUUGGAAACGACUGCUAAUACCGAAUACGCUCAUGAUGAACGUUGUGAGGAAAGGUGGCCUCUGCUUGCAAGCUAUCGCAUAGAGAUGAGUCCGCGUCCCAUUAGGUAGUUGGUGAGGUAACGGCCCACCAUGGCGACGAUCGGUAGCCGGACUGAGAGGUUGAACGGCCACAUUGGGACUGAGACACGGCCCAGACUCC
rnacentral:rRNA from 1 species